rnacentral:lncRNA from 1 species
AUGGAAAAUCAGACUGAAGGCCAAGAAGAUAAAAGAAAACACUUAUUUAGAUUUAAAGAAGCGUGGUCGAGGGAGUCCAGAUGUGAAGGCCUGGUCUUGAGAAGUUGGAGAAUGAGUGGACUAGCUGGGUAUAACAAAUUAAAGGUUGUGUCAGGAAUUGGAGAGCACUUUAAAGAGUUCAGAUGUGGCUCUAUCUGCAAGGAGAUAAUUCACAUUGAGGAACAACUGAAUAAGGACGAGAUGUGGGACCCAAGCGAGGAGAGUGUUAGUAAAUACAAAGCUCUGGAGGAACAAAGGAGUAAUCUGCUGAGGACGGAAGAAAUUAUGUGGAGGCUAAGAAGUAGGACGUUGUGGCUUGGGGAAGGAGACAAUAAUACUAAAUUUUUCCACGGAUAA